rnacentral:ncRNA from 1 species
UUGAGCCGUAUGCGGGGAAACUUGCACGUACGGUUCUUAGCAGGCCGUUGAAAAAAGCCAGAGCGCUUUCCGCUCUGUCAAA